UACGUAGGUGGCGAGCGUUAUCCGGAAUGAUUGGGCGUAAAGGGUGCGUAGGCGGCCUGCUAAGUCUGGAGUGAAAGGUACCGGCUCAACCGGUACAGGCUCUGGAAACUGGCGGGCUAGAGAGCAGGAGAGGGCGGUGGAACUCCAUGUGUAGCGGUAAAAUGCGUAGAUAUAUGGAAGAACACCAGUGGCGAAAGCGGCUCUCUGGUCUGUAACUGACGCUGAGGUUCGAAAGCGUGGGUAGCAAACAGG
rnacentral:rRNA from 1 species